ensembl:lncRNA
CCUCCUCCUUCAUCCCAAAGCUGUCAUCCUGAGCGCUGCUGAGACGACGGACGGCUCAAUCCCUAAACGCCCGGAUGAGAGCAGCAGCAGGCGACAUUCAGGGCAACAUGGUCGCAUGAAGUCCGAAGCGCAGACGGGGGGGACAACCACCAUUCCUGAAGGAGGGGAAGCGAGCGACGCGGCCACUGCUGGAAUCUGACAUUUUUCCCUUUCGCCGCAGCCCACGUAGAAACGGUUCUGGGAGAAUACAGGCGGAGAUCUAGAGGCGUGGAGGCGAAGAGGAACGGCACAUUUCACCCCCCUCCUUCUCCACGGUGUCCUAUUUCGUCGAUCUAUGACGGAAAUGAGAAACACUUUGGAAUGGAGCCUGGAAAGUGCACUGGCACCAAAAAUACCUCUGUACUACGAGAAACCCCGGGGAAAACACUCAGAGUGCUCCGCUAUGGCUCUACAGAUGAGACCCCCUCCCCAAUGCACCGGU